ACUUAGGGGAAUCCUCUGAGUUGGGCAUUUGGACGUGCUCUGGAGAAGAGAGAGCGUGUCUUGUGGGACUCACUGGGAAGCUGUGCACAGCUGCAGACCAGAAAGCCACCAGUCACACUAUCUCUGGGAAGGAAUCGGGGACAGGUCGGCACUGGAAGGAACAUCUUUGCUGGUCCAUCAUUUUAGCUUGGAUCCCCACUCCCACCUGAGCCUGCUAGUUCACAUUGUGAUCUGCGUGUAUACCAUCCCUCGAGUUGCCCAGUAUACAACCUGAACAGCCACACACAAGAGGCUCUCAGCAUCCAUGGCAACCUGUGCAGGAACUGCAAGAUGCUGCAACGAGCCAGGUGCCAGGGCAACUGAAAACCAGGAAGCAGCCAAGGAUCUCAGCCGGUGCUCACCGUUUUAAGAUUUAUUGUUGACUUUAAUGUUGACUAUUUUAGUUGGUUACCUGCUCAAUUUGACUCAUUUUAAAGUAAAUAUGAGCUUUGUUAUUUAUCUUAAACUUUUAAAAAAUCUCCUUUUCUAAGCUCUGAACAGUGAGUGCUGGGAACUUCCCUGGAUGGAGACGUUUGUCCUUUGUGCUCAUAAAAGCAGUACCAGGAUGCUCUCAUCUCUGAAGUAGCUCUGCCUGGCUACUGUGCCUUUGAGAGAGGAUGAUAGACCUUCGGAUCUCUAGAUAAGAGCCGCUGCGGUAUUCCUAGGGGCCGUUUGUCUCUGUCACAGAGACUUCUCCGCAUGCCCCUUCACUGUCUGUGAACCCUAGAGGCCUUUGAGGAUGAGAAUAACCCAGCUCUGAGAGGAGGGUGGGGGAUGGAGUUCCUCCGCCAGUGUGAGCAGCUGCUGGCCUGGUGUUACGGACUCUCAGUCAUAAAGGAGAAGACGCAGGUCCUCCGCUCCCUGGGUGUCUCAGUUCUUGGAGACAUUCUGUGGUGCACAGUGUUGGGAAUGUGGGACGGUUGAGAACUCACCCAAACUGUUCAUAGAGGCACUGCCUCACCGCACCAGCACUUCCCUGAGAGCCUCAGCAAAGGCCUCUCUGGAAGGAACCAGAAUAAGUGGGGAGGGAUGAGCCUUGGGAUUUCCAUGCUGGAGCUGGGAAGCUUCCAUAGCCAAACUCUUAGUUUUUCUUCUCCUUCCAAAUAUCAAAAGAAGCAAUUUUUGUUUCACAUUCUUUGGUUUUAUGUAUAUGUACACAUACAUAUACAUAUAUGUCUUGUUUACGUUUAAAUAAAGCAUUUCUAAAUGA
rnacentral:sRNA from 1 species